rnacentral:rRNA from 1 species
CCUACGGGAGGCUGCAGUGGGGGAUAUUGGACAAUGGGGGAAACCCUGAUCCAGCGACGCCGCGUGAGUGAAGAAGUAUUUCGGUAUGUAAAGCUCUAUCAGCCGGGAAGAAAGUAAUGACGGUACUUGAGUAAGAAGCUCCGGCUAACUACGUGCCAGCAGCCGCGGUAAUACGUAGGGGGCAAGCGUUAUCCGGAGUUACUGGGAGUAAAGGGAGCGUAGACGGUUAUGCAAGUCUGGUGUGACAGGCGGGGGCUCACCCCCCGAACUGCUCUGGAAACUGUGUAACUGGAGUGCAGGAGAGGCAGGUGGAAGUCCUAGUGUAGCGGUGAAAUGCGUAGAUAUUAGGAGGAACACCAGUGGCGAAGGCGGCCUGCUGGACUGAAACUGACGUUGAGGCUCGAAAGCGUGGGGAGCAAACAGGAUUAGAUACCCCGGUAGUC